AAUAGAUACCCCGGUAGUCCACGCCGUAAACGAUGGAUACUAGCUGUUCGUCCGCCUCGGCGGAUGAGUGGCUAAGCGAAAGUGAUAAGUAUCCCACCUGGGGAGUACGAACGCAAGUUUGAAACUCAAAGGAAUUGACGGGGGCCCGCACAAGCGGUGGAGCAUGUGGUUUAAUUCGAUGAUACGCGAGGAACCUUACCAAGGCUUAAAUGUAGAUUGACAGGACUGGAAACAGUUUUUUCUUCGGACAAUUUACAAGGUGCUGCAUGGUUGUCGUCAGCUCGUGCCGUGAGGUGUCAGGUUAAGUCCUAUAACGAGCGCAACCCCUGUUGUUAGUUGCCAGCGAGUCAAGUCGGGAACUCUAACAAGACUGCCAGUGUAAACUGUGAGGAAGGUGGGGAUGACGUCAAAUCAUCACGGCCCUUACGCCUUGGGCUACACACGUGCUACAAUGGCCGGUACAGAGAGCAGCCACUGCGCGAGCAGGAGCGAAUCUAUAAAACCGGUCACAGUUCGGAUCGGAGUCUGCAACUCGUACCG
rnacentral:rRNA from 1 species